CAGGGAAUAGUUUAUUUAAAAUAUUAGUUUUGGAGGCUAGUGAUAGGAUUUUUCUUUUCCUUGA
rnacentral:tRNA from 1 species